CCAGUGCUACUGCAGUCGAGCGGAUGACGGGAGCUUGCUCCUGGAUUCAGCGGCGGACGGGUGAGUAAUGCCUAGGAAUCUGCCUGGUAGUGGGGGACAACGUUUCGAAAGGAACGCUAAUACCGCAUACGUCCUACGGGAGAAAGCAGGGGACCUGCGGGCCUUGCGCUAUCAGAUGAGCCUAGGUCGGAUUAGCUAGUUGGUGGGGUAAUGGCUCACCAAGGCGACGAUCCGUAACUGGUCUGAGAGGAUGAUCAGUCACACUGGAACUGAGACACGGUCCAGACUCCUACGGGAGGCAGCAGUGGGGAAUAUUGGACAAUGGGCGAAAGCCUGAUCCAGCCAUGCCGCGUGUGUGAAGAAGGUCUUCGGAUUGUAAAGCACUGUAAGUUGGGAGGAAGGGCAGUAAGUUAAUACCUUGCUGUUCGGACGUUACCGACAGAAUAAGCACCGGCUAACUCUGUGCCAGCAGCCGCGGUAAUACAGAGGGUGCAAGCGUUAAUCGGAAUUACUGGGCGUAAAGCGCGCGUAGGUGGUCUGUUAAGUUGGAUGUGAAAGCCCCGGGCUCAACCUGGGAACUGCAUCCAAAACUGGCAAGCUAGAGUACGGUAGAGGGUGGUGGAAUUUCCU
rnacentral:rRNA from 1 species